UUUGGAGGGCAAGUCUGGUGCCAGCAGCCGCGGUAAUUCCAGCUCCAAUAGCGUAUAUUAAAGUUGUUGCAGUUAAAAAGCUCGUAGUUGAACUUUGGGCUUGGUCAGCCGGUCCGCUUUUUUGCGUGUACUGGUCCUGACCGAGCCUUUCCUUCUGGCUAACCUGUCUCUCGGGGCAGGCGAACCAGGACUAAUGUGAAG
rnacentral:rRNA from 1 species